rnacentral:lncRNA from 1 species
CGAGGCCCUCAAGAGAAAAAUAUCUCUGCCCUACAGCUAUUGCUGUCCCUAAACAAUGAUCCCAAGAUAAUUAACCCUAAAUCGUAAAGAACUAUAUAUAGACCUAAUGACUUGAGGCCCAAUUAAUUAACUUGGAGCCCAUGAGUCUUGACCUAAAAACUUAACCCUAAAUAAUUGAACUACUGCGAAAAAAUAAAAGAUAACUAUGAACUAACAAAAACUAAUAUAAUAAAGAUAAUCCUAAAUCUGCAGACUGCAGCUGAUCUAACGCUAUCAAUUGCCCGCCUGUCGAAACAGCCUUGUCCUCAAGGCGGUUGCUGAUUCAUAUGGUCCCAUGGGACUUCCUCCUUCAGCCCGGUAUCCUCAUAAUUCUCUAGGUCCCUGCCCGGGUCAUCUUCCAUGUCACCGAUUAAAACCUGUAGUGUUUUAGGUGGGCAGCGAUGCAAUGGCCCAUAUUUCAGGCCGCAGCGAAAACAAGUGCCAGCUGCACGGUGUUUCAUGUACUCCUCAUUGGAGAUGUUGCGAAAAUUGCGGGGAGGGGCAGAUGAAGUGAGGGAGGCAGCCGGGGAAGCGGACGACGUGUGGGAGACAACGACUGUUUCGGGUGGGGCUGGCGAUGUGCAUGGUCUAUCUUUCGAGCAGCCUGUAAAGCGGCUGAAUAGCUGAAAAUUACACUAUCUUGAAUCUGGGCUCGAGAUGCUUCUUCAACCCACCCAAGAAAAAUCCCAAGUAAUGCGCAUCCGAGAAAUCAGGAAUUUGUGAAACCCUAUUCUCAAAAGCGGCGAUAUAUUCCUCGAGAGAACCUGUUUGCUUGACUGCAAGCAAGGCUUCAUAGCCGUUAAUUGCGGACUCAUCGCCAUAUCGAAUCACAACUCCUGCGAAAAGUUACCCAAUCGGGAUUAGGUAUUCUCCUGAUCAGCAAUUGAUACCAAGACAUCGAUGACCCUGACAAGGCUAUCACGGCGAACUCCACCUUCUUCGCCGCAGGUGUCUGGUGCACCAAGAAAUACUGCUCUGCACGUGCAAGCCAUGCACGAGCAUCAGAUCCGUCGAAACUGGGCAUCUCCAUCUUCUGCAACAUCGGAGUGGGGGAACUUUCUGACUCCGACAGCGAGGGAUCGGGGCCCCGAUCAAAGUGAUCAAAGGAUUUCAACUGGGCGAGAAUGGCGUCAAGUUUAGAAUCUGACGCUGCUUGCUUCGCCGCCGCUGCAGACUGGGCAGCGCGAAGUUCCUCCAGUGCCUUCUCUAUCUGCUCCAUGCGUUGUUGGUCUCUCGUCAUCGUCAUCUUUCGAUCCGGCAGGUCGGACCAAUUUGAUAGAGUAAAGGCGUAUGAAGAUGAAGAAAUAAGAAAGAAAAUAAAAAUACAAUAUAUAAAACUCCUCCUGCGAGGCCCUCAGAGAAAAAUAUCUCUGCCCUACAGCUAUUGCUGUCCCUAAACAAUGAUCCCAAGAUAAUUAACCCUAAAUCGUAAAGAACUAUAUAUAGACCUAAUGACUUGAGGCCCAAUUAAUUAACUUGGAGCCCAUGAGUCUUGACCUAAAAACUUAACCCUAAAUAAUUGAACUACUGCGAAAAAAUAAAAGAUAACUAUGAACUAACAAAAACUAAUAUAAUAAAGAUAAUCCUAAAUCUGCAGACUGCAGCUGAUCUAACGCUAUCAUGUUGUUGCUUCUUAAAGCAUUAACUUUGAACACUUGCUGGAGAUUGUUGAUAUCUGGAGAGACUUGGAUUGGUUUGAGUCAUGUUUCGUAUGUGGUUUCUCUUGUAAAGUUUUUCUGGAUGUUGUGGCUGUGCUCGAGGACAAUCAAUGGUUUAAGUGUAGGGGGUUGUUUCCCCUGCUUUUGGGCUUCUUGUG